rnacentral:misc_RNA from 1 species
GAUGAAGAACGCAGCGAAAUGCGAUAAGUAAUGUGAAUUGCAGAAUUCAGUGAAUCAUCGAAUCUUUGAACGCACAUUGCGCCCGCCAGUAUUCUGGCGGGCAUGCCUGUUCGAGCGUCAUUUCAACCAUCAAGCCCCCGGCUUGUGUUGGGUACCUGCGGCUGCCGCAGGCCCUGAAAAGCAGUGGCGGGCUCGCUGUCACACCGAGCGUAGUAGCAUACAUCUCGCUCUGGGCGUGCUGCGGGUUCCGGCCGUUAAACCACCUUCAUAACCCAAGGUUGACCUCGGAUCAGGUAGGAAGACCCGCUGAACUUAAGCAUAUCAAUAAGCGGAGGA